UACGUAGGGUGCGAGCGUUGUCCGGAAUUAUUGGGCGUAAAGGGCUCGUAGGCGGUCUGUUGCGUCGGGAGUGAAAACUCAGGGCUUAACCCUGAGCCUGCUUCCGAUACGGGCAGACUAGAGGUAUGCAGGGGAGAACGGAAUUCCUGGUGUAGCGGUGAAAUGCGCAGAUAUCGGGAGGAACACCGGUGGCGAAGGCGGCGAUCUGGGUCGAUACUGACGCUGAGGUGCGAAAGCGUGGGGAGCAAACAGG
rnacentral:rRNA from 1 species